CCCUUAGAUGUCCUGGGCCGCACGCGCGCUACACUGAUGCAUUCAACGAGUUUUACCUUGGCCGAGAGGCCUGGGCAAUCUUUUAAACCUGCAUCGUGAUAGGGAUAGAUUAUUGCAAUUAUUAAUCUUGAACGAGGAAUUCCUAGUAAACGCAAAUCAUCAAUUUGCAUUGAUUACGUCCCUGCCCUUUGUACACACCGCCCGUCGCACCUACCGAUUGAAUGAUCCGGUGAAGCCUCGGGAUUGUGGCCAGUUCACUUUAUUGGGAGUUGGCUGUGAGAACUUGUCUAAACCUUAUCAUUUAGAGGAAGGUGAANUCGUANCA
rnacentral:rRNA from 1 species